rnacentral:rRNA from 1 species
UACAGAGGGUGCAAGCGUUGUUCGGAAUUAUUGGGCGUAAAGGGCGCGUAGGCGGUGCUGUAAGUCUGUAGUGAAAUCUCUGGGCUCAACUCAGAGUCUGCUAUAGAAACUGCAGUGCUGGAGUGUGGGAGAGGUGAGUGGAGUUCCCGGUGUAGCGGUGAAAUGCGCAGAUAUCGGGAGGAACACCGGUGGCGAAGGCGGUUCUCUGGGCCGUAACUGACGCUGAGGAGCGAAAGCGUGGGGAGCGAACAGG